UUUCCCUCUUAUUUUCCUUAAAAAAUAACGAGGAAAAUAGGAGAAAAAGAGAAGGGCAAGGGGGGGAAAAUUUUAUCGGGGGCUCUGUUCACCGCUUCACCUUUCCCUUCCUCUUCAUCGGUGGCUAUGGCUUCUCACCGUCGUCGACCCUUUCAACGGCCACCACAAUCACUCCGAUCACCUUCCAGGGCCGAAAACCUACCCUCUUCCGGCACCCGAGUUCCCAUGGAUGAAGUGCGCUCUUCAAAUCAAGUUCUCAUUGAUGAAAUGGAUUCUUCAAAUCCAGUGAAUGUAUUCGGAUCCAUAUCUUCAGAUGGUAUGAAUUGAACUCCAAUCCACCUCAUCUUGUGAAAACCCGGAACCCAAGGCAAAGCAAGUUCAUCCUGAUAAAAAUCCGAGUGACCCUUUGGCAGUUGAACGAUCUCAGACUUAUAAUGAAGAGUGGCAAAGACUUAGAAGAUGGGCUGCAACUCAACUCCACACUGCAUCUUAUGGCUUGGCCUCUCUCUUCUUCUUUUCUCUUUCUUUUCAUAUUUAGCAGGCCAAGUUGAGAAAGACUAACAGGCUCUCGUUUGAAUUUGUGCAUUCCAGAUCUGUAUAAUUCUGGGAGUGAUAUUGAUGAUUUUAGCUCCCAUUGGUGCCCUGAGGCAGAUCAUCCUCCAAGCCAAGACCUUCGAAGUGUUCUCAUGAUGAUCUUCCCAUUGCAAAGAGGAUGGAUUUGAUUGAUUGGUUGAGAAGUUGAAUAAUGGUGCUUGUCCCAAGAGCCAAAUGAAACAGUUGGGUCUCGUCUUAAGAGUUCUAUAGUCUUCUGUUCUUUUUAUUUGCUUGUACAGUGCUCUGUUAAAUAUGUCACAUCAAAUAUUAAACACAAUGAAGCAUAUAAUAAUAUAUCCUCAAGCCUUAUGAUUAAA